AUGAACGCUAGCUACAGGCUUAACACAUGCAAGUCGAGGGGCAGCAUUUUAGUUUGCUUGCAAACUGAAGAUGGCGACCGGCGCACGGGUGAGUAACACGUAUCCAACCUGCCGAUAACUCCGGAAUAGCCUUUCGAAAGAAAGAUUAAUACCGGAUAGCAUACGAAUAUCGCAUGAUAUUUUUAUUAAAGAAUUUCGGUUAUCGAUGGGGAUGCGUUCCAUUAGUUUGUUGGCGGGGUAACGGCCCACCAAGACUACGAUGGAUAGGGGUUCUGAGAGGAAGGUCCCCCACAUUGGAACUGAGACACGGUCCAAACUCCUACGGGAGGCAGCAGUGAGGAAUAUUGGUCAAUGGGCGAGAGCCUGAACCAGCCAAGUAGCGUGAAGGAUGAAGGCUCUAUGGGUCGUAAACUUCUUUUAUAUGGGAAUAAAGUUUUCCACGUGUGGAAUUUUGUAUGUACCAUAUGAAUAAGGAUCGGCUAACUCCGUGCCAGCAGCCGCGGUAAUACGGAGGAUCCGAGCGUUAUCCGGAUUUAUUGGGUUUAAAGGGAGCGUAGGUGGAUUGUUAAGUCAGUUGUGAAAGUUUGCGGCUCAACCGUAAAAUUGCAGUUGAAACUGGCAGUCUUGAGUACAGUAGAGGUGGGCGGAAUUCGUGGUGUAGCGGUGAAAUGCUUAGAUAUCACGAAGAACUCCGAUUGCGAAGGCAGCUCACUAGACUGUCACUGACACUGAUGCUCGAAAGUGUGGGUAUCAAACAGGAUUAGAUACCCUGGUAGUCCACACAGUAAACGAUGAAUACUCGCUGUUUGCGAUAUACAGUAAGCGGCCAAGCGAAAGCAUUAAGUAUUCCACCUGGGGAGUACGCCGGCAACGGUGAAACUCAAAGGAAUUGACGGGGGCCCGCACAAGCGGAGGAACAUGUGGUUUAAUUCGAUGAUACGCGAGGAACCUUACCCGGGCUUAAAUUGCAACAGAAUAUAUUGGAAACAGUAUAGCCGUAAGGCUGUUGUGAAGGUGCUGCAUGGUUGUCGUCAGCUCGUGCCGUGAGGUGUCGGCUUAAGUGCCAUAACGAGCGCAACCCUUAUCUUUAGUUACUAACAGGUUAUGCUGAGGACUCUAGAGAGACUGCCGUCGUAAGAUGUGAGGAAGGUGGGGAUGACGUCAAAUCAGCACGGCCCUUACGUCCGGGGCUACACACGUGUUACAAUGGGGGGUACAGAAGGCGGCUACCUGGUGACAGGGUGCUAAUCCCAAAAACCUCUCUCAGUUCGGAUCGAAGUCUGCAACCCGACUUCGUGAAGCUGGAUUCGCUAGUAAUCGCGCAUCAGCCAUGGCGCGGUGAAUACGUUCCCGGGCCUUGUACACACCGCCCGUCAAGCCAUGAAAGCCGGGGGUACCUGAAGUACGUAACCGCAAGGAGCGUCCUAGGGUAAAACUGGUAAUUGGGGCU
rnacentral:rRNA from 1 species